GAGAGACUCCUGCUUGCAAAUUUGAAAAAACUUCAUUAUGAGAGUGAGCCGAAGACAAGCUUCUCCCUUCCUGCAAUGAAUUGUGCAGAUUCAUGGCCAGUGGCAGUUCUGACGGUCUAGAGCUGUAUGCCUGGCACAAGAGAAGAAGGUCGAAUGAAUAGGAGAGGAAGAAGUUUUCUUGAAUGUCAGUUUCAGAAGAACAUUACAUGCUCUGGAUAUUACACUUUACAACAAAUAUUGUAAAUGAAAUGCAGCAAUAAUGGUUCUUCAGCAGUAUGGUCAAGGCAUCUUUCUGCAAGAUUGCACUUC